UACUAUUUUAAUAUUUUUGAUCAGCGUGCCUUGGUAUUUUCAGAUCCUAGUAGUCAAACAAACACCACUUCGAGCAAGGUAGCAGAGAAUACAAGCACCCUGAAUCAGAAACCGAUCAGCCGAGUGGGAGCUCAGGCUGCCCUCUUGCGUUCGAGCGCUGACCGACGCGGGAGAGGUUUUUUCCCUGUAGCACCUAGGAUGUCCUAAGUUAUGUUAGGGUACGCACACACGCGUGCGUGUUCAGGUACCGUGCGUACCGAGGGUUUAGACCCUCCAAUCUCUCCCGUGAUGUGUGCGGACGCGUGCGCGUUUUCUACCCUCUCGAAAAAAUACCCUGAAUAAAAAAAAAAUCCCUGGCCGUGGCACCGAUUCACCGUGGCUUUCCUCGUAAAGCCGGCUACCACACUGACAAACCCACGAAUCAAACGCCCGGAUGCGGGGUACCGGUUCUCAUGGCUCCAUAUGCCCAGUGGCCAAUCAGCAACCGACAAUGGCGUUGCUCUCCUGUGCCGUUGUGCGCCAGGCCAGGCGGAUGAGAUCCCCGGCGGCCCCCGUUCUCCCACUGCCCCGACCAAUAAUGCCCGCGCGCAGCGCAGCGGCCAGUGGCCACGAUCAUCAUCUCCUGUUGUG
rnacentral:lncRNA from 1 species